GACGUAGGGCGCGAGCGUUGUCCGGAUUUAUUGGGCGUAAAGAGCUCGUAGGCGGCUUGUCGCGUCGAAUGUGAAAUCUCAGGGCUCAACUCUGACAUUGCAUUCGAUACGGGCAGGCUAGAGUUCGGUAGGGGAGACUGGAAUUCCUGGUGUAGCGGUGAAAUGCGCAGAUAUCAGGAGGAACACCGGUGGCGAAGGCGGGUCUCUGGGCCGAUACUGACGCUGAGGAGCGAAAGCCAGGGGAGCAAACGGG
rnacentral:rRNA from 1 species